rnacentral:rRNA from 1 species
UACGGAGGGCGCAAGCGUUGUUCGGAAUCACUGGGCGUAAAGCGCGUGUAGGCGGCUUGGCAAGUCGGGUGUGAAAUCCCGAGGCUCAACCUCGGAACUGCACUCGAAACUGCCUGGCUCGAGUCCCGGAGAGGGUGGCGGAAUUCCCGGUGUAGGGGUGAAAUCCGUAGAUAUCGGGAGGAACACCAGUGGCGAAGGCGGCCACCUGGACGGUGACUGACGCUGAGGAGCGAAAGCGUGGGGAGCGAACAGG